CUUACAGUGCACUAUUUAGUCCAUUCAGAAGCUCUCUGAAUCUAACACUAGAUUCUGUGCCAAACCAAGAAAGGAGCUUUCAUCAAGUGUUCAAGCGCAUCUGUGUGACAAUGGAUACAUUCUUGCCCAGCAUACAAGUAUGUUUAAAGUAGUCUACACAAAUUUGGUAAGACACUGAUGCUUCUAGCCUAGCACUGAAUCACUGCUGCAAGCCAUUACUGUUUCACUCCUUGCCACCUGUCCAUAAUAUACUUGUUCCCUGUUGUCCACCUCUCCUAUUCUUCAAUGUAGUAUAAAACGAGAUAAGAACAAGAAGUGUACUUGAGCUAUCUGAGAAAGGAACCUUAUCAUUUGGCAAAGAAGAGAAAUUUUUGCAUUGACCACUGCAGCAUAGUCAAAACAUAUUCACAUACAUCUCCUAGGAAGAUUUGGCUCUUGUGGCUCACCACUGCAGGGCUGAAAGCUGAAGAAUGGAUGUGCCAGUCACUGUGGUUUGGUUACAGGCAUUAUAGUUAAGAACUAAUCUCUCAAUUUACAGCUCUGUAUUCUAUGUAUUCUGUAUAUAACAACAUGUGUUCAUCUGAAAGCUUUUCAGUUCACUUCCUUUUUAUUUAUUCAUCUUUCUGUAACUGCAGAUGAAUAGUGGCUAAUCAGAAAUAUCUGUGUUUGGUUAUGUUUACAUCUAUGCCAUGUUCUUUUUCACUUUUUAAAGUGGGAUAAAACUUGCUGCACCAACAGCUCCAUAGAAA